GGGGAUGUAGCUCAGUGGUAGAGCACUUGCUUAGCAUGCACAAAGCUCUGAGUUCAACCUCCAUCACCA
rnacentral:tRNA from 1 species